GACGUAGGGCGCGAGCGUUGUCCGGAUUUAUUGGGCGUAAAGAGCUCGUAGGCGGUUUGUCGCGUCUGCUGUGAAAACUCAGGGCUUAACCCUGAGCCUGCAGUGGGUACGGGCAGACUAGAGUGUGGUAGGGGAGAUCGGAAUUCCUGGUGUAGCGGUGGAAUGCGCAGAUAUCAGGAGGAACACCGGUGGCGAAGGCGGAUCUCUGGGCCAUAACUGACGUGAGGAGCGAAAGCAUGGGGAGCGAACAGG
rnacentral:rRNA from 1 species